AGUCAUAUGCUUGUCUCAAAGAUUAAGCCAUGCAUGUCUCAGUACAAGCCGAAUUAAGGUGAAACCGCGAAAGGCUCAUUAAAUCAGUUAUGGUUCCUUAGAUCGUACCCACAUUUACUUGGAUAACUGUGGUAAUUCUAGAGCUAAUACAUGCAAACAGAGCUCCGACCGGAGACGGAAGGAGCGCUUUUAUUAGAUCAAAACCAAUCGGCGGCGGGCUCGCUCGUCGUCGUACACCUUGGUGAAUCUGAAUAACUUUCUGCUGAUCGCAUGGUCUCGCACCGGCGACGCAUCUUUCAAAUGUCUGCCUUAUCAACUGUCGAUGGUAGGUUCUGCGCCUACCAUGGUUGUAACGGGUAACGGGGAAUCAGGGUUCGAUUCCGGAGAGGGAGCCUGAGAAACGGCUACCACAUCCAAGGAAGGCAGCAGGCGCGCAAAUUACCCACUCCCGGCACGGGGAGGUAGUGACGAAAAAUAACGAUACGGGACUCAUCCGAGGCCCCGUAAUCGGAAUGAGUACACUCUAAACCCUUUAACGAGGAUCAAUUGGAGGGCAAGUCUGGUGCCAGCAGCCGCGGUAAUUCCAGCUCCAAUAGCGUAU
rnacentral:rRNA from 6 species